rnacentral:rRNA from 1 species
UACGAAGGGGCUAGCGUUGCUCGGAAUCACUAGGGCGUAAAGCGCAUCGUAGGCGAUCUUUAAGUCGGGAUCGUGAAAUCCCUGGGCUCAGCCCAGGAACUGCGUCCGAUACUGGUUGGCUUGAAUCCGGGAGAGGGAUGUGGAAUUCCAGGUGUAGCGGUGAAAUUGCGUAGAUAUCUGGAAGGAACACCGGUGGCGAAGGGCGACAUCCUGGACCGGUAUUGGACGC